rnacentral:lncRNA from 1 species
AAAAAUGACAAUAAAUAAAAAUUAAGGAUUUGUUUGUAAAUAAAAGAGUUCAUCUUAAAAAAAUGAAGAACUGAACAGUAUUUCUUCAAAUUUGAAGAAAUAUUGUUCAAUUCUUCAAAAUUUAAAGAAAUGAAGAAAAAAAUAAAAUACCAAUAAAGUAAAAAAUAAAGCAAAAAGUGAAAAUGAAGCACCAUUGGAAAUGCUCUAAUUGCGAGUAUGCGACGACAACAACAAUUCCGCGUCCGAGUUUCUGCUUAUCUCUUCUUGUUCAUUAAACUACCUUUCACGUGUGGCUUGUAGCGCGUGGAUAAACAGAAUAUUUAGUACUGCACCGGUUUGACUUUUUUGGUUCCGGAUCUUACGGCGGAUCUUGCAAAACCUGUACUGUGUGGCUGUAUAUAAUAAUAUAGCUCCAGAAAGAGAGAAGCUAACGCGAAGUAGGCCAUGUUUCUGCUGUACUUGUGUUAAUGUAGAUUUAAAUCAGAGAUGUUGUCUUUAAAUCUUCAUUAUUAUAGUCUAUAGUCAACUAUAAAAAUGCUGUAAUCGUUUAUCUUAGUACUGAGAGAUUAUACUUGACAAUCUUUAAGAAUUGAUUGCAC